rnacentral:rRNA from 1 species
UACGUAGGGUGCGAGCGUUAAUCGGAAUUACUGGGCGUAAAGUGUGCGCAGGCGGCGGAGCAAGUCGAGUGUGAAAUCCCCAGGCUUAACCUGGGAACUGCAUUCGAGACUGCAUUGCUAGAGUAUGGGAGAGGGAAGUGGAAUUUCAGGUGUAGCGGUGAAAUGCGUAGAUAUCAGGAGGAACACCGGUGGCGAAGGCGGGUCUCUGGGCCGAAACUGACGCUGAGGAGCGAAAGCGUGGGGAGCGAACAGG